CAGUAGCCGCGGUAAUACAGAGGGUGCAAGCGUUAAUCGGAAUUACUGGGCGUAAAGCGCGCGUAGGUGGUUUGUUAAGUUGGAUGUGAAAUCCCCGGGCUCAACCUGGGAACUGCAUCCAAAACUGGCAAGCUAGAGUAGGGCAGAGGGUGGUGGAAUUUCCUGUGUAGCGGUGAAAUGCGUAGAUAUAGGAAGGAACACCAGUGGCGAAGGCGACCACCUGGGCUCAUACUGACACUGAGGUGCGAAAGCGUGGGGAGCAAACAGGAUUAGAUACCCCCGUAGUCCCUGUCUCUUAUAC
rnacentral:rRNA from 1 species